AUGAUGCGGCAAACCGAGUCGUUGCAUCAAAAAAAGAGAUGCAUGCUAAGGAGAUUGAACAAGUCAGUAGGGGUAAGAAGACCGCGGCUAGCAAAAAACCUACUUCUCAGCCUCAGUGUUAUCGAUACAUACAUCAGGUUUUUGUAUGACAAAGUGAUGCGCCCGCGUGGAUUGGAAGAAAUAUUCGCUUUCUUAGCUCACAACACCGUCAACGCAAGCAAAGAUACACAAUAUUUGUUCUUUUUUCCAUAUAAUAUUGGAAACGGUGGAUAA